rnacentral:rRNA from 1 species
UACGUAGGGUGCAAGCGUUGUCCGGAUUUAUUGGGCGUAAAGAGCUCGUAGGCGGUUGGUCACGUCGGAUGUGAAAACCUAUGGCUUAACCAUGGGCCUGCAUUCGAUACGGGCUAACUAGAGUUCGGUAGGGGAGACUGGAAUUCCUGGUGUAGCGGUGAAAUGCGCAGAUAUCAGGAGGAACACCGGUGGCGAAGGCGGGUCUCUGGGCCGAUACUGACGCUGAGGAGCGAAAGCGUGGGGAGCAAACAGG